rnacentral:rRNA from 1 species
AGAGAACGCUGGCGGUAGGCCUAACACAUGCAAGUCGAACGGCAGCACAGUAAGAGCUUGCUCUUACGGGUGGCGAGUGGCGGACGGGUGAGGAAUACAUCGGAAUCUACUUUUUCGUGGGGGAUAACGUAGGGAAACUUACGCUAAUACCGCAUACGACCUACGGGUGAAAGCAGGGGAUCUUCGGACCUUGCGCGAUUGAAUGAGCCGAUGUCGGAUUAGCUAGUUGGCGGGGUAAAGGCCCACCAAGGCGACGAUCCGUAGCUGGUCUGAGAGGAUGAUCCGCCACACUGGAACUGAGACACGGUCCAGACUCCUACGGGAGGCAGCAGUGGGGAAUAUUGGACAAUGGGCGCAAGCCUGAUCCAGCCAUACCGCGUGGGUGAAGAAGGCCUUCGGGUUGUAAAGCCCUUUUGUUGGGAAAGAAGAGCAGCAGGUUAAUACCCCGCUGUUCUGACGGUACCCAAAGAAUAAGCACCGGCUAACUUCGUG